UUGUGCCCGUUUCCUUUUGUUGAUCGGGCAAAGGAAAGGAACAUGUAUGAACGAAAGUAGCGUCGGCAGUGAACGAUAACGAUUGAAAGGAACACGAGGAUAGUCGACCGUUGGCCCCUGGCACUGACUCGAUUUGGGGAAACGAAGUUUGGAAACGGAAGGGAGGUGGUCUCAGUGGUGGUAAUCGAUUGAAUGAGGGAGCUUCUCUGGUGUCUGGCAGAACCGAAGGAGGGGAAGAGACGAAAGCAGCGAAGCUCUCUCUUUCUCGUUCGGCUGCGUGGUGCGAAUGAAGAAUGAGGUCCGAAGGGGAGUCCGGGAGGCGAUAGGUCAGCAGCGACGUCGCAUGUAGGCCUCGGUGGGCUUUGCUCGAUGAAAGAAGAAGAGAAUGGCGCGAGGGUUGGUUCGAUUGAAGCGACGUGUGCAGCAGCAGUAGAGCUAGCGAGGCUUCGGCGAUGUUUUGCUCCGUUUUGUAGCAGGAAAAAGAAGAAACGAGGUUGCGAUCCAAGGAUAGAGAAGGGCAACAACCUUCUUCUUUGGCUGAAGAUCCAGAAACGGGAAGGAAAGAAGAAGAUAUCAUUUUUUUGGAUAGAUUUCAAAAUCUGAUCGUAUCGAUUUUUUUACAUGAUUUUGAUUGUACAGCAUUUGCCUGUGAAUGGAAAGAGUGUUUGUGUGUAAGAUUGGGUGAAGAAAGAGUGUAGGAAAAACUUUAGUGUGAUUUAUGUGAAAGAUUAAGUGCGGAAGCAACCAUUAACUUAA